rnacentral:tRNA from 1 species
AAUUAGAAAGCGAAGGAUUGCGUUUAGUUUCGGCCUAAAAUUUGGUAGUAUACCUCUAAUUU